AAAUAAAUGUGUGAGAAAAAUAAAAAACAAGAAGUGUUAGCGCACAAAAACAAAUAUACCAUGCUUUAUUAAAACUAAAUGCGGUAAUCGGGUAAAGAGUUUUUAUUUUUCUAGACUUUCGAAGGAACAAAUUCAGAUUAAAAAGAUCGGCACCUGAAUGGAACCUUUCUAGCAGCUAAACAUGCUAAAGCGAGUAAUGGAGAGGCAAUUCCGUUGCUGGCACUGGUGUUUAGGCGACUAACAAUUGCUGGUGCCUAAAUGUAUGCUACACUCUCAACCAAAAACCCAAAAACUCUUGCGGAACUUUAUCAAUGGCAAAUGCUGAAGAGGCUCCGCAGGACUUGCAACCAUGCAGAGGUGAAUUUGGCCCGCAUCUUCUGCAACAUCUAAUACUCAUCAGCUAGUGCCAAAUUUAUUUAACACUUUGGGUCAGAUAUUUAUCGGCUGUUGUCUGCCACAAUUCUUCGACCUCGUUAAAUUUAUUACGCCACAAAUCCACAAUCAUCUUCCAACCUUCUUCUUGCGUUACCAAUACAUAUUCGUUAGAUUGGUCCAG